UCUCUGAUUUUCAAAUCAAAUAUCCAUUGUUGAAGAUGCUGAGCUUGCCAGAAGAGAAAAAAAAAAAAUAGUAUAUCUACGUCGCAGAAUCAUAAUUGGAGGAUAAUGGCCCGAAAGAGACAUCGCAAAGUUCAAUGUUUGCCAUUGAGACGAGGGAGGAGGCACUACUAUCAUAUCACUCCAAAAUGCGAUAUUAUGAAAUGCGAAUACGAAAUCUUAUCUGCCAGACACACACGAGUUUUCGGAUGCUAUUUGAAUCGGCAGCGUACAUACAUAUAUGCAUAGUACUUAUGUAUAUACAUAUAUAUUUUUGAUUCCGUUUCGGUUAGAUUCAUCAGAGGUAGAGCUACUACGUGGCUACCAACCUACCAUGGAUGUCCCCCAUACCAUCUUAUCUGGUAAUUAUUUGGCUAUAAAUAACAAUAAAAACCUGAUCGUAAAACCCGGCGUAGAGCCCACUGCCUUAUCACGAUAAUGAUCAUUGUUCAACCCCGUUGGCUACUGUAAUAUAUUUAUUUUUAUUUAUUUUAUUUUUUUUUAGGUGAAAGCCUCAUCAUCAUCCUCCUCCCGUUCAAGAUCAAGCUCGGCAUGGAAAGUUUUCAUAAGUUUUCCUUUCGAGUGCCUUGAAAAAAAAAAAAAAAUAUAUACAAAUUCUAAAGGUUACAACAACCAGUGGCCUGCUCAUGUUAAUUUCAUUCACAAAAGAAGCCCUCGACAAAAGCAUAAUAUCUCACACGGAUAUAUAUCUGUUAUCUCGAUCUGUUCGAUGUAAACAAGUUUUCUCGUUCAUAUGACUGAUUAUUGAUCAUGGGCUUUGUUUCUUUUUGGCUUUUUUUUUGGCUGUCUGGCUGCCUGGCUUAUGCAAUGCUCCACAGACAUUGGUCAUUACUUUUAAUGGCAUUCUCACGAAUACCCACGAUGAUAAAUUCGAUUUUUUUGGGUCAAGAAGUGAUGUCUGGCUAGAUACUUGGCCAUACUCCUCCCCAGUGUUUACGUAUACGUAAUAUUCAAGGUGUCAAGGAUUAGAAACUAAAGGGCCUUCUACAAAGUCUAAUUACUUGUCAAAAAACAGAAACUGCAUGCUUUUUGGUCUCAUGGCCUUAAUGAAGCGAUAACAACGCCGAAGACGCUCUAAUUCGCAGUUGAUAUUAACUAUUUGGUUAGUGUAUUAACGAGGCUGUGCCAGGCACAAAUAUUUGCCCGCCCGUUUGGCACUGAUCGUGCCAAGGAGGAGGAAGACACAUGCGACAUACGAGGCGUAUGAGUAAUAAAGUCAACCUGCCACCUUCUUUUCAUCAUAAGCAGCAACAAAAAUAAUAAAAUUGUUGUGUAAACGAUCGCGAAAACGAUAUCAACAA